UUGGCUUCAAUUAUGCAAUUACAAGAAUCAUAUAUAAGCAGUGCACAUGUGACGUAGCAGACUGAGUGUUUGUACUUUGAUUUGUAGCCAGACACGAAACAACUUCUAUGCAUAGUUUGUUAAAUGUAACAGCUCGAUUGACAUAGCAUCAACUUUUCACUUAACUUAAUGCUAUUAUUUCGUUAUUGAUGAUCAAUACUUAAAUUGAGUGUGAGAACUAUACACUACAAUAGCAUAUACAAACGGUCGAUAAUACUAUUGAAGUCAUAAAUACGUCUCCUCGCAAUUAACUACAAUUACCGAUUGAAGAGGAUGGAUAUAAUUGUUAUUAUUGUCUUCUUUGUUGGCUUAGUAAAUGUAGAACCCAAGCUAUCAAGGUAAG
rnacentral:lncRNA from 1 species